GAAAGAUCAUCCAGAGAUGACCACAAGAUAAAUGGAAGCGCUAAAGCACGGCACAAUCUAGGAUUUCUCUCUGUGUCUAGCUAUCAUUUCAGCACUUUAACAAGACAAGGCUAAAACUUCAAAGACAGCCAGAAAAUUGUUCUGCAAACAAAAGUUUGGCAUCAUUCCUACAAAAGGAGAGAAAUCACGAGUGAGAGAAAAGAGGUCUUUGUUCUCCACAGCUGCUGUCAUUCUGUAGAAAAAUCUCAGCACAGAUCCUGAUACAGUUAAUUGGAGCUUCCUGAAAGCCUGUAUUAACAGAUGAAGCACUAAGAAGACAUCUUGGCAGAAAAAUAUCAUUAUCAGUUUUGAGUUGCAGCCCCAAAUCCUCCUGCGGUCAAAACACAAUUCUUUUAACUAAACAAUCAAGGAUUUGAACACGUGUUGCUGCCAUGAAUUAUCAAGACUAAGGAGGGGCUUCCCCUUGGCAGGAAACAAGCUGAAAAUGUUGGUGUGGGGGGAGAGACACAGAAACUGAGAAGUUCUCUUGCAAAAAUCCCUUUUGAAUUCUAUGUCUAUCCCCCCCCCCCCACACACACAUCCAGUGGGGCUUAUAUGGAUGAAAUUCCUAGUGGAAUGUCUGAUGGCAGAACUCAUUGAAAUGGAGAGGUCAUUAUUUAAUACCAGACAUACAAGCAAGAGAUAGUAAUAUCAAUUCAGAUAUUUUCAUGGUUUCAUUCUCUAGAAUAAGAGAUAUAGUCGACUGCAAAGCAUGCAGCUAUUGGAGCAGCAUUGUGACAGAUUAAAUAAAAAAAUGUUUAAACCUUCUAUGUUCUUUUGUGCCAAAUGUGAUUUUUACAGGAGUGAACCAUUGCAGCAAAUGGUACAUUUUAAAUUCCUGAGGCAAACCUUCCACUCUGCCUAAGUUAAUUUAAUGUAAAUGUCCUUGAAAUAGAUUUAAUUGUUAUCCAGUGUUU